rnacentral:tmRNA from 1 species
GGGGGCGACGAGGUUUCGACGGGGGAAGCGGUGGCGAGAGGAGCGAGCCGGGGUCGUCACCUGCCCGUAACACGGUGGCAAAAACAAUAAACGCCAACAAGACCGAACUCGCUCUGGCUGCUUAAUCCAGCCAGCAUCCUACCGGUUUCCGCCUGCGGGACCGGCUAGGGUGUCAAGCCAGCAGGCUUGCCGGCCGGUUCUUCCCGGGGGCCGGCGGGGACACACACCGGGAUAGCUUGCGUGCAGCCCGGCUGCGGGCGGCGCGUAGGUGAAGGCCAGUACGCAGCCUGCGCUCGGAGAGCCUCUUGCGGUCGUUCCUUCGGACAGGGGUUCGACUCCCCUCGCCUCCACCA